CAAAGGACAAAAAAAUUGAUGAGAUUACACACAUUUUAAAGGAAAGAUGUAACAAGUGAAAAGUGAGAGCCAUUUGUUCAUGUGCUUGACGAAAAGUUCACAAGCAAUUUGACUAAUUCCCUUUACGGCAAAACCAAAAAAGAGAAUGAGAAAACAAGAAAAAUGGACACUAAAGUCAGAUACAAAGCAUGAGCAGAGGAGCAGAAAACGCUUAUCAAUAAAAGAAAUGCAACCAUUUAAUUCAAUUCCAGGGUGUUCAUGAAUCUAGAUACACCCACCAACUAUUCCAAGAGAUCUCAAGUAAUAUCAGCUUCCCCAUGUGUUUAGUUCAUCGAAAGAGUCACAUUAGUUCAGUGUCUACUCUUCCUAUAAUUUUUCUUGACAAACAGCAUCUAAGAUUAACUAGCUUUCAACAAACAGAAAUGCCGUGACUCCCAACUUGUCAAUAAUCGAGACAGAUAGAUACCCAUGCAUGAUUUUGUUACGGCAGCCUGAUCUAAAAAUCCACUUCGUGCGGCAAAAUUGGGUCCACAG
rnacentral:lncRNA from 1 species